rnacentral:rRNA from 1 species
CUACGGAGGAUGCGAGCGUUAUCCGGAUUUAUUGGGUUUAAAGGGAGCGUAGGCGGGAGCUUAAGUCAGCGGUUAAAUGGUGCGGCUCAACCGUGCCCUGCCGUUGAAACUGGGUUUCUUGAGAGUGCAAGAGGCGGAUGGAAUUCAUGGUGUAGCGGUGAAAUGCUUAGAUAUCAUGAAGAACUCCGAUUGCGAAGGCAGUCCGGUGGGGCACGUCUGACGCUGAUGCUCGAAGGUGCGGGAAUCAAACAGGAUUAGAUACCCUGGUAGUCCGCACGGUAAACGAUGAUUACCCGCUGUCGGCGGUAGACAGUCGGCGGCCAAGCGAAAGCGAUAAGUAAUCCCCCUGGGGAGUACGCCGGCAACGGUGAAACUCAAAUGAAUUGACGGGG